GGUGGAUUUAUUAGAACAGAACCAACCGGCGGUGACUUCGGUUGCUGUCGUUGCAUUCUGUGAUGACUCUGGAUAACUUUACUGAUCGCAGUCGGCCUUGUGUCGGCGACGGAUCUUUCAAAUGUCUGCCCUAUCAAUUUUCGAUGGUAGGUGACCUGCCUACCAUGGUGAUAACGGGUAACGGGGAAUCAGGGUUCGAUUCCGGAGAGGGAGCCUGAGAAACGGCUACCACUUCCAAGGAAGGCAGCAGGCGCGCAAAUUACCCAAUCCCGGCACGGGAGGUAGUGACGAAAAAUACGGAUACGGGACUCAUUAGAGGCUCCGUAAUUCGAAUGAGUACAAUUUAAAUCCUUUAACGAGGAUCAACUGGAGGGCAAGUCUGGUGCCAGCAGCCGCGGUAACUCCAGCUCCAGAAGCGUAUAUUAAAGUUGUUGCAGUUAAAAAGCUCGUAGUUGGAUCUGGGUCGCAUGGCUACAUGCCGUUGCUCGUAUUCCUGGCCUGGUUCACACCGGGACGGGUUUGUGAGUCGGUGUCGUGGUUGUGCAGCCUUCCUGCCGUGUCUGUUUCGACAGGUGUUAGCAUGAUUGGUGGGUUCGUCCUGCUGAUCUGUUGACAUGCUUCCAGGUGCCCUUAACCGGGUGUCGGGGGCGGACGGCACGUUUACUUUGAACAAAUUUGAGUGCUCAAAGCAGGCCCAUGUGCCUGAAAAUUCUUGCAUGGAAUAAUGGAAUAGGACUUCGGUUCUAUUUUGUUGGUUUUCGGAUCCGAAGUAAUGGUUAAAAGGGACAGACGGGGGCAUUUGUAUGGCGGUGUUAGAGGUGAAAUUCUUGGAUCACCGCCAGACAAACUACAGCGAAAGCAUUUGCCAAGGAUGUUUUCAUUGAUCUGGAGCGAAAGUCAGAGGUUCGAAGACGAUCAGAUACCGUCCUAGUUCUGACCAUAAACGAUGCCAACUGACGAUCCGUGGUGGCGCGAUUAUUGGCCCCGCGGGCAGCCCCCGGGAAACCUUUAAGUCUUUGGGCUCCGGGGGAAGUAUGGUUGCAAAGCUGAAACUCAAAUGAAUUGACGGA
rnacentral:rRNA from 1 species